GCCCCUGUGGCUUAGUAGCUAUAGCGACUGCCUCGUAAGCAGUAGAUCGUGAGUGCAACUCUCACCAGGGGCU
rnacentral:tRNA from 1 species